rnacentral:rRNA from 1 species
UAAAUCCUACGGGGCGCAGCAGUGAGGAAUAUUGGUCAAUGGGAGAGAUCCUGAACCAGCCACGCCGCGUGAGGGAAGACGGCCCUAUGGGUUGUAAACCUCUUUUGUCGGAGAACAAAACCCGGGACGAGUCCCGGACUGCGUGUAUCCGAAGAAAAAGCAUCGGCUAACUACGUGCCAGCAGCCGCGGUAAUACGUAGGGUGCGAGCGUUAAUCGGAAUUACUGGGCGUAAAGGGUGCGCAGGCGGUUGAGUAAGGCA